UACAGAGGGUGCGAGCGUUAAUCGGAAUUACUGGGCGUAAAGCGUGCGUAGACGGUUAUUUAAGUCGGGUGUGAAAGCCCCGGGCUCAACCUGGGAAUUGCAUUCGAGACUGAAUAGCUAGGGUACGGUAGAGGGAAGUGGAAUUUCCGGUGUAGCGGUGAAAUGCGUAGAUAUCGGAAGGAACAUCAGUGGCGAAAGCGACUUCCUGGACCAGUGCCGACGUUCAGGCACGAAAGCGUGGGGGAGCAAACAGG
rnacentral:rRNA from 1 species